CCUACGGGGGGCAGCAGUGAGGAAUAUUGGUCAAUGGGCGCGAGCCUGAACCAGCCACGUAGCGUGAAGGAUGACUGCCCUACGGGUUGUAACCUUCUUUUAUAAAGGAAUAAAGUGAGGCACGUGUGCCUUUUUGUAUGUACUUUAUGAAUAAGGAUCGGCUAACUCCGUGCCAGCAGCCGCGGUAAUACGGAGGAUCCGAGCGUUGUCCGGAUUUAUUGGGUUGAAAGGGAGCGUAGAUGGGUUGUUAAGUCAGUUGUGAAAGUCUGCGGCUCAACCGUAAAAUUGCAGUUGAAACUGGAAGUCUUGAGUACAGGAGAGGUGGGCGGAAUUCGUGGUGUAGCGGUGAAAUGCGUAGAUAUCACGAAGAACUCCGAUGGCGAAGGCAGCUCACUGGACUGCAACUGACACUGAGGCUCGAAAGUGUGGGUAGCAAACAGGAUUAGAUACCCUAGUAGUC
rnacentral:rRNA from 1 species